UGAUCCCUGAGAUUCUGGAGUUUUGGGAUACAAAGGAUCCAAGGCCUGUUACAUCCCCUCUGGAAGAAGAGAUCCUGGCAGCUUCUGAAGGGGUUCAAGCUGCUUCAGAAGUGAUUGGCACUGAAGCACAGCUCUUCCUGGCACCCCAACUGCCAGUGCUGGGCUGGAUGUUGAAAGGGAAAGUCCCUUCCACACAUCAUGCCAAUGAUGCCACGUGGAGCCAGUGGAUGGCUCUGAUCACACAGCAAGAUCACACAGAAACCCCAGUUACUCAGGGAUCUUGAAAGUUGUCACAAACUGGCCUGAAGGUGAAAAUUUUGGACUAUCAUCAUCAGAGGAGGAGGAGCCACAUGCUGAGGAGGCCCCACCAUAUAGUCAGCUCCCAGAAAAUGAAAAGCGGCACGCUCUCUUCACUGACAGUUCCUGACACGUUGUAGGGACAACAGGUGGAUUGAGAUGCUAAGAUUAAAGUGUCUCAGGUGGAUCUGGACUGGCAACACUAGAGUGAAUUAUUUCUGGCUCAGUGGGCCCAGGACGCCUCAGGUCAUCAGCAAGAGAUGGAACAUUGGUUCAUGAUGGAGGAGUGGUUUUAACCAUAGACACCAUGUCCUGGGUUAUUCAUGACUGUGAAACAUGUGCUGAGAACAAAAAGGACAAGCAGAACUCCCAUGGACAAUGAGGAUGGACUGCUCCAGAUACACCAGUUGUGAGCUCCUGAGGCAGCUUGAAACCAGCCCACAGCACCCCAGCCCUGCCCUGGGAGACAUCCAGGGUGGAUAGAACCCACAGUCAUGGACUAAAUGAACUCAACAGACACCUUGGAGGGACAGCAUUGAGUGGGGAAGUGAUUCCUGUGCUUGUGUGUGUGUACAUAUAUAUAUAUAUAUAUAUAUAUAUAUAUAUCUCACUCGCCUCUCUCAUGUUCUCUGUUAUUAUUAUUAUUGUUGCUGUUGCUGUUCCUUUUCUUAUCUCCUUGCAGUUUCCAGUAAACAGUUCUUAUCUCAA